GUGCGACCCCAGGAUGGGCGGGGUGACCCGCUGAGUUUAAGCAUAUUAAUAAUGCGGAGGAGAGGAAACUUACGAGGAUUCCCCUA
rnacentral:rRNA from 1 species